UGCUCUGCAGACAGGAUAGCUCAGUUGGCAGAGCAUGAGACUCUUAAUCCCAGGGUCAUGGGUUCAAGCCCCACAUUGGGCAA
rnacentral:tRNA from 1 species